rnacentral:rRNA from 1 species
UCAGAUGUGCCCAGAUGGGAUUAGCUAGUAGGUGGGGUAACGGCUCACCUAGGCGACGAUCCCUAGCUGGUCUGAGAGGAUGACCAGCCACACUGGAACUGAGACACGGUCCAGACUCCUACGGGAGGCAGCAGUGGGGAAUAUUGCACAAUGGGCGCAAGCCUGAUGCAGCCAUGCCGCGUGUAUGAAGAAGGCCUUCGGGUUGUAAAGUACUUUCAGCGGGGAGGAAGGUGUUGUGGUUAAUAACCGCAGCAAUUGACGUUACCCGCAGAAGAAGCACCGGCUAACUCCGUGCCAGCAGCCGCGGUAAUACGGAGGGUGCAAGCGUUAAUCGGAAUUACUGGGCGUAAAGCGCACGCAGGCGGUCUGUCAAGUCGGAUGUGAAAUCCCCGGGCUCAACCUGGGAACUGCAUUCGAAACUGGCAGGCUAGAGUCUUGUAGAGGGGGGUAGAAUU